GAAAUGCGAUAAGUAAUGUGAAUUGCAGAAUUCAGUGAAUCAUCGAAUCUUUGAACGCACAUUGCGCCCGCCAGUAUUCUGGCGGGCAUGCCUGUCCGAGCGUCAUUUCAACCAUCAAGCCCCCGGGCUUGUGUUGGGGACCUGCGGCUGCCCGCAGGCCCUGAAAACCAGUGGCGGGCUCGCUGUCACACCGAGCGUAGUAGCAAUCACCUCGCUCAGGGCGUGCUGCGGGUUCCGGCCGUUAAACAGCCUUACAAAACCCAAGGUUGACCUCGGAUCAGGUAGGAAGUCCCGCUGACCUUCAGC
rnacentral:misc_RNA from 1 species